rnacentral:tRNA from 1 species
GGACGUUUAGCUCAGCGGAAGAGCACUACAUUCACACUGUAGGGGGCACAGGUUCGAUCCCUGUAACGUCCACCA